CAUGCCUUAGACCGGCCCACUUUAAUUCACGACUGACUAUAUUAAAAUAAUGUAAUUAAAACCUCAGUAUAUAAGUCUGCAAUAGUGCACUGUUCUCUACAACCUUGUAAAUCAGUGUUUCUCAAACUGGGGUAUGCGUACCCCUGGGGGUACGUGAGAUGACAAAAGGGGGUACGCGAACAAAAUGCGGAGUAGUUAAUUUAACUCUACCAUACCUUAACAUAAUAUUAAAACAGAGCAUGUAUUUCUAACUGGCAAAAUGCCGUAAAUCCAUUACAUUUAAUCAAAUUACCUCAUGUUUUGCAGUCUAAAAUGACUGCAUCCACACAAGCAGCGAGAAGGGUAUUCCUGCACAACCGGAGGCUGCAGUUUCAGGACCGCAGAUCUAGGACCGCAGUUCUAGGACCCUAGUUUUUCGUGACAGCGCCACCUACCGUACUGGAUCAACACUAAUUAAAGAUGGACAACAUGGACAGCAAUCAGACGGCCAUCAUAUAUGCCCUGGCUGCCCUCCAGAAUUUGUCCUUGCAGGAGGCUGAGGAGGUCUUCCUUUCUGGUCCAGAUUAUCAUUUCAGCUCAGAGUACAGUAUGAAUUAUUUUUGCACAAUGCCUAGUGCACCAUUUUGCUACUGAUAUUUCUGUUAUCACAAAAGUGAUUGUUCUCUGAUAACUAUUUCAGUGAAGUGGAAGAAUUUAAUAGAAAGAUUGACAAACAAUUGAGGAAAGAAGGGAGACCAUUCAAUUGAGUUGAAGCCUACAGCCAUUCUAUCCAUGCAGCAACUGAUGGAAAAGGGGUUCGCUUUGGUGCUGUUGUCGCAAAAAUGACAUAUAUAUAUAUAUAUAUAUAUAUAUAUAUAUAUAUAUAUA